AGCCUGUAUAUGGUUGAUGAUGCUUGCAGAGGUCACAGGGAUUAAUGAAAAACACAAUUAGAACAACAUCAAGCUGGGGGCCCCGGUUUGGCACUGAAAGAUACAUUUGGGUAUAUCGUAUUGCAUUAUGUGAUGUAAGAAUGUGGGCUAGUGUAAUCAAAAUGUAACUGCAAUCCUUACCAAAAACACCUGUUUAACCUCAGCUAACCCGGGAAGAGAACUUUAGGCUAUUUUUUUCACUUCUGAAUCAGAGGCAUACUGGUACACAUGCAAUCAUGAAGCUUCUGUUUGCGGGUCCUGAAAAUGGAAGGACUUGGAGCCUGAGCUCCAUCUGUCCCCAAAUCUAUUUUAUGUUCUUUAAUUAUGUGCUUACUUAACUUAGUAGUGUGCUUGGGAAAACCACAAGGAAGAGAACUGGAGGCCAAAAAUGAAAAUAUUUUCCCCUUGAUUGGAUAAAUUGUGCCUAGUGGCAAUCUGAGCAACUCCUGGUCCGAGAACAGAGAGGACCAUGAGUUACCAAACGCCCUGACUUGGGGCAGUGAGGCUUUUUGGCACUUUUGGAGGAAAAAGUGGUUUCAAAGUAGAAAGCAAGUGACGACUAAUGAUCUGACUUCAAAUUGACAAUUUUAUUGUUCUGUGUGCUGAGCCCUUGGAAAUGUUCCCUUGGUUAUAAAUGCUGAAUGGACAGAGGCAGGGUGGCUCGGCGGCGAGGAAGAAAUGUCCUGAUGGCUCAAGUGUCAGUGUGAGAAUCGAGAACAGUGCUUUGUGAAGUUCCAUAUUGCUCUGGAUUUCAGAGACAGAUGCUGCUUCAUGUACCCAGGAUCUCUUUCAAAUUCAGCUAAUUCAGAUCAGGAAGCUGACCCAACUCAUCAUUUGUUGCACAACGACUGGAGCUGGCAGGACAGGGAACUGCAGCCAGAAACCGCAAGUAAUGCUCGUUUGGCACCAAUAUGGUCUUCGGUGGACUUCAGGAUUUGAUUUUAUAAUGCACUAAUUAGCACCAAGGACAGUGGUUAAUAAAAAAGCACCUUCAGUAGUUUGAAAAACAACAUGGCGUGGUAUUCCAGGACCCAGCUGCAGAUGGUCAUGCUUAGAACCAUCUAAGCAUCCUAUGGAAAGGAUUGUUAGUUUAAACUGACCACGAGAGGUGGUUUGCCACCACUAUAGGUAGAAAAGCGAGGCAUAGAAUAACUGAAUAAAACACAAAAUAAAACUGUAAGGUAAAGUCAAUAGAGAAUUCCCAUUGUGCUUCCUUUUACCAAUUUCUCCAGUAUUUUUCAGAACAGACUAGAAAAAUAUUAAAAAAAAAAAAGUUUAAUGACAAUUUACAAAUAUACAAUACUUACAUUUUCAAAAGUUACAAAAAUGGUACUUUAACAGAAACCAAAAGCUUCAUCUGACCUUUGGUACAUUUCAAAAUUAGUUAUUUACAAAGAAAAAAAUCACAGUCACUUUUCAUAGUGUCAAUGUUUACAUGUAAGCAUCCCUCAGUUAAAAAACAUCUCACAGCUUACCCACAGGCACUUUUUGCAGUUUGAGCUCUGCACCCAUCCAUCACAUUGAGAAUUCUAUCAGCCCCCGUUAAGCUGACAUGACAUUGCAUUAUUAUGUUUUAACAGACUUUAGUUUGAAGAAUAUGUAUAACCAUCACGCUAAACUGAUUCACAGUUGGUGACAUUUCACCUGGUGCAUUUUGUAUUGCUUAUGGCUUGGUACAAUGACACAGGCUUCCUUUUCUAAUUAGCUUGUAAUACACGUUAAGAAAAAAAAAAAUGGACUAAUUUUAUUAGGUAGUAUAAUUCCAUCUCUUCAUAGAGGAAAUUAAAAACAAAAGUGUUCUUCCCAUGCUGUUAUUUCACCUCAUGAAAUUUGUAUAUUAAACCCUUUCUUCACCAUGCACAAUUUUUGCCUAAAGGUAACAGACAAACAGAUGAAGGCUUCCAAAACCUAUUCAUUUCUAUUACUUUUCCCAUUAGUGGACGUUUUCUAGUUUGAACUUAUUUUAACUCAAACUUUAGAAAUUUCCCUUGAGAGCAAACACAAGUAUUGUUUUGUCUGUGUGUGCUUGAGUGUCUUCCUUUAGUUUAAAAUAUUUCCAAUAAAAGAAAUACAGCCAAAAUACAUACAGCCCAUUUUUGAAGCCUCUAACUUAUUAGCGUACACAAUUUUUUCACGUGGUCAUGAUUUUUAGAGCAUGUAACUUCAAUGCGUAACAGAAUGGGAACUCAAAAAGCCUUGAAAUUCAUUGUUUUGAGGACAGUUUGGGACUACACGUUUCCCACAGGUAUGUUUUAGUUAAGACUAAAUACCACCAGAAUAUUAGUUACGGUUCAGGAUCAGGAUCUUUUUUUAAACCAAGAAAUAAGAAAAGCUUGCUGUCAGCAACUGUGGGUGCAGCUUAAAAUGUCUUCCAUCGUUACAACAUUGCCCUCCCAAGAACUUAGAAACUC
rnacentral:lncRNA from 1 species